rnacentral:sRNA from 1 species
CAUGCGAAUCUAUACAUACGCUAAAUCAGACUAGCUUUCAACGAGCCUAUAAUGGAACUCCUAUUGCACGCCAGUAGAAGACACGCAUACAGAAGAUGAUCUAUAAUUUCCUCUUUUCCGACCUUCUUAUAAUGGAUGAAUUUUAAGUGUCUAUAUUGGCAUUUCAUUUGACACUUCUCAAUUUGAACCAUGCAAAGAUACGCAAUCGAACAAAGCGUUAAAGAUAUUCAAAAUCAACAUGGUCCAUUAAAAUUUAUCUCAGACAGAAAUCUGAAGUUGCAACUUUUAGUCUAUCAGCAUAUGGACUUGUCAUGUAGGACACGAUGAGUGAGAAUCCUGUGGUGGCUAGAACUAACUCAAUAGUCCGAAAUUUACAGACUGCCUGCAUUUGUUAAGGGGGUUUUUCUACAAUUCCAUGUCCACACCACUCUUGAAGAGUUACCUAUCCUUUGAUGUUCUUGGUGCGGGUUUCGGCUUUGUUAAUUUUAAUCUAAAUGUAUAUACUCAAUGCUGUUACCCAUCAGUUUUGAUUGUAUAUUCACUUCCUCAGUGCACCAGAUUUUCAUCUUCCUCCCAACAGGAGGUUAUGCCUUUCUUACUCUGAUGCAAAUUUUCCGAAAUUAUUCCAAUUUCUGAGUGCUCACUUGAUGUUCGUGCGUAAAUAAAUGAAAAAUGCAUAAUA